rnacentral:rRNA from 1 species
CCUGGCGGCCAUAGCACGCUGGAACCACCCGAUCCCAUUUCGAACUCGGAAGUGAAACGGUGUAGCGCCGAUGGUAGUACGAGGUUUCCCUCGUGUGAGAGUAGGUCAUCGCCAGGG